AGGGCCGAAUCUAAAGCUCCUGUUGGGAAUUACAAUCCCUGCUGUCCUGGUUCUGGCUGUGGUGCUUUAUCUGCUGGGAAAGAAAGUCGUGUCUCUACCAAGGGAUCAAAGGGAACAAGUCCAGCGCGACACCAGCAACACUCCUGAAGAUCAUAUUGAAUAUGCCUCGGUGAAUUGGCUGGGAAGCUCCAGGCAUCCAACACCCCAGAGAGAAGAGAGGCCGACGUAUGCGGCCAUCACUCCACAGCGGGACAGAUGUCAUUAAAGCCCCACUUGUUGAAAUGCAGGAUUUGCCAGUGUGCAGCCGCAUCACAGAACCUCCCAAAAUGAGAGGCAACCGUAAGGGCCGUGCAGCAAGGAGGUGGGGGACCUUCUCUGGGGCCACAGCUGGACAAUGCACAGUGACCUAAAGUUCUGUUGCGGAACUGGAAUAUUCUCACAGCAAAUGUAGCCUCUUUGCU